ACAGAGGGGGCUAGCGUUGUUCGGAAUUACUGGGCGUAAAGGGCGCGUAGGCGGUCUUGCAAGUCCCGUGUGAAAUCCCUCGGCUCAACUGAGGAACUGCACGGGAAACUGCUUGGCUUGAGUUCGGGAGAGGGAAGCGGAAUUCCGGGUGUAGCGGUGAAAUGCGUAGAUAUCCGGAGGAACACCGGUGGCGAAAGCGCUCUGCUGGGCCGCAACUGACACUAAUGGACGAAAGCUAGGGGAGCGAAUGGGA
rnacentral:rRNA from 1 species